rnacentral:rRNA from 1 species
AUUGAACGCUGGCGGCAUGCUUUACACAUGCAAGUCGAACGGUAACAGGCAGCAAGUUGCUGACGUGUGGAGGAGGGGCGGGUAAUGCAUCGAUAUCUGCGCAGCCGCGGGGGGUAAGUACUCGAAUGCGGAGAACAUACCCCAUAAGAUCUAUGCAUGACAGGGGGGGACAGGAAGGCCUUGGGCGCUUUGAGCGGCGGAUGUGCCCUGAUGGGAUUAGCUAGUAGGUGGGGUAACGGCUCACCAAGGCGACGAUCGGUAGCUGGUCUGAGAGGACGACCAGCCACACUGGAACUGAGACACGGCCCAGACUCCUACGGGAGGCAGCAGUGGGGAAUAUUGGACAAAGGGCGCAAGCCUGAUCCAGCAAUGCCGCGUGCAGGAAGAAGGCCUUCGGGUUGUAAACUGCUUUUAUACGGGAGGAAACGAGUCUGGUUAAUACCCGGGGCUAAUGACGUUACCGGAAGAAGAAGCACCGGCUAACUACGUG